rnacentral:rRNA from 1 species
UACGUAGGGGGCGAGCGUUGUCCGGAUUUACUGGGCGUAAAGGGUGAGGAGGCGGUCAUGUAAGUCAGAUGUAAAAGGCGUAGGCUCAACUUACGUAAGCAUUUGAAACUGUGUGACUUGAGUGCAGGAGAGGUAAGCGGAAUUCCUAGUGUAGCGGUGAAAUGCGUAGAUAUUAGGAGGAACACCAGUGGCGAAGGCGGCUUACUGGACUGUAACUGACGCUGAGUCACGAAAGCGUGGGUAGCAAACAGGAUUAGAUACCCUGGUAGUCCACGCUGUGAACGAUGAGUGCUAGGUGUUGGGUAGCGAUACUCAGUGCCGAAGUAAACACAAUAAGCACUCCGCCUGGGGAGUACGGUCGCAAGACUGAA